UACCGUAGUACCUCAUAGGGCCCUGCAGGUAGAUGGCUCUUCAUACGGUUGUACGUGUCAUACCAUCAUGGAGGAAGGGGAUUCUUCUGUGGUCAUACGCAUGUUGCACAGACAUACACCUGAGCACAAAAGGCCUGACGGAACUAGUCUGAAAAGUUCUGGGUUAGGAUGAACAUCCAGUCCGACUUGUGGGUGGGGACUCGGAGACAGAAGGGCGGGUUGAGAUCCUCUUCAAUGGCCAGUGGGGAAGUGUCUGCAGUACAGGUUGGGAUGCGGCCGAUGCCAGUGUCGUCUGUCGACAACUGGGCCUCUAUGGCCAGGGGACCGGUCAUGUGUUGAUGGAGAAUGUCGCUUGCCACGGAAAUGAGAGCCGGUUAAGUGACUGUGCAUUUCCAGCAUGGGGUUCCACGUGUAAAAAUCAGCAUGUAGCAAGUGUGUCAUGCCAAAUAGCUGAAGAUUUCCCAAUUCGUCUGGCCGGUGGAAGAACAGAACAAGAAGGGCUGUUAGAGGUACUUUUCAGAGGCCAAUGGCACGUGCUGUUCAUCAGCCGGUGGACAGCCUCUGCGAGCAGCGUCGUUUGUUGGGAGUUGGGCCUGCCCGGGCCUAACAUGUCCUACACCUUGCUCCAGAGAAAGGAAGGACAGCCCACACCUCGGUGGGUUUCGCUGAUCGAUGUGAGCGGCAACGGAAACGAAGAGAAGCUGGUAGACUGUGCAACGUGGAGUCUAGGGACAAAUGGGGCAAAUCUGUAUCCCUUGAACUAUGCAGUGAGAGUGUCCUGCCAGAUAGGUUAAGCCCAGUUACUUUCUCUCCCCCUCUUUGACCAAGUGGUUAAACACUGUCAAUGUAAUUACAGUCAUCAGCAGAAAAACUCAAAAUGCUCGGUCAAAACAAAUGAAUCGUAAAUUUUAAGGACUUAGUUCAUGUACUGACAGACAGGACCACUGUAAACGAAAUCUUAAAAAGCUUUUUAGUAGUUCUUGGGGGAAAAGCAGUUUUAUAUGCAUUUCAGGCUCACACUUUGUCCAAUGACAGACUUGAAGGGGGCUGGUGAUGCCCACCUCAUCUCUGAUUUUGUUUUUUCCCUGACAGCUUCGUUUAUGUCCCUUUAGCCGACCCAUUGAUGGAUUCAGGAGGCCAUGUCCCUCCCCCAAAAAGGGGGCCAUAAGUUAAUUUGUUUUCUGAGAUGGCAUUUUGAUGUCCUUCCUUUCCACAGUAUUUACAAAAGGUCUAAAAUUUAGCCUCACUGGUCAGAAAGGCUAUUAAAGGCUUCAUGUGGAAGUCUCAAAUUUGAUCCAACUCUCUCCCACCAGUUGAUUUUCUGUGUAAUUUUUGGAUUAUUCAUAUUGAAUACUCU
rnacentral:misc_RNA from 1 species